UGGGGAAUCUUGGACAAUGGGGGCAACCCUGAUCCAGCCAUGCCGCGUGGGUGAUGAAGGCCUUAGGGUUGUAAAUCCCUUUCGCCCGCGACGAUGAUGACGGUAGCGGGAGAAGAAGCCCCGGCUAACUCCGUGCCAGCAGCCGCGGUAAUACGGAGGGGGCGAGCGUUGUUCGGAAUUACUGGGCGUAAAGGGCGCGUAGGCGGCGUGCCGCGUCAGAUGUGAAAGACCUGGGCUCAACCUGGGAGGUGCAUUUGAUACGGGCAUGCUUGAAGCCGGAAGAGGAGAGUGGAAUUCCCAGUGUAGAGGUGAAAUUCGUAGAUAUUGGGAAGAACACCGAUGGCGAAGGCAGCUCUCUGGUCCGGUCUUGACGCUGAGGCGCGACAGCGUGGGGAGCAAACAGGAUUAGAUACCCCCGUAGUCC
rnacentral:rRNA from 1 species